ACACCGCUGGAGAGUCCCACAACAGGACGAAACGGCCGUCCAGUGC
rfam:Schistosoma curassoni strain Dakar, Senegal genome assembly, scaffold: SCTD_scaffold0004428